GGUGGACAGUUCGCUAUUUUACAGCCUGAAGUGGCACGUUAGAAAACUUCGGUUUAGCUUAUGACGCGGCCUGAAUCUCUCUUUUUAGGGCCUCCACCUUCGAUUCGUUCGUCUUAGGCUUGCUCCUCCUUUUAGCAGAAUAAAGACGCCUGUGGUGGGGACGGCUCAUUGGCAGUGUGACCUAAGAGAAGACUUUCUUCCUGGAGCCCUUCUGUGGAUCAGAGGCUCCAACCGACUGUUUCUGUUCUCCAGGCUUCCGCAGUUGCUUUCUGCUGGAUGACAUCCUAACCCAAAAGCUUGUUUGACACUGGGCUCUUCCAGAAACAAUAUGAUCAUCCCAAGUGACAGUGUGUACAGAUGCUGGAGUCCUGGGAAACACUUGGAAUUCUAACAGGUGGUGAUGCUCAGGCUGAACCAUGAACCCUGAGCCUUCUCCAUGGUGGGCCACUGCUUUACCACUGAGCUACACCCUCAGCUCUGCUCUAGCAGCCU